AUUGAACGCUGGCGGCGUGCCUAACACAUGCAAGUCGAGCGGUAACAGGUGUAGCAAUACAUGCUGACGAGCGGCGAACGGGUGAGUAAUGCUUCGGAAUCUGCCCAUGUAGUGGGGAAUAACCAGCCGAAAGGUUGGCUAAUACCGCAUACGACCUACGGGUGAAAGCAGGGGAUCGCAAGACCUUGCGCUAUUGGAUGAGCCGAAGUCGGAUUAGCAGUUGGUAGGGUAACAGCCUACCAAGGCGACGAUCCGUAGCUGGUCUGAGAGGACGACCAGCCACACUGGGACUGAGACACGGCCCAGACUCCUACGGGAGGCAGCAGUGGGAAUAUUGGACAAUGGGGGCAACCUGAUCCAGCGACGCCGCGUGUGUGAAGAAGGCCUGCGGGUUGUAGAG
rnacentral:rRNA from 1 species